rnacentral:rRNA from 1 species
AGCGAACGGGUGAGUAACGCGUGGGGAAUCUGCCUUUGAGCGGGGGACAACAUUUGGAAACGAAUGCUAAUACCGCAUAAAAACUUUAAACACAAGUUUUAAGUUUGAAAGAUGCAAUUGCAUCACUCAAAGAUGAUCCCGCGUUGUAUUAGCUAGUUGGUGAGGUAAAGGCUCACCAAGGCGAUGAUACAUAGCCGACCUGAGAGGGUGAUCGGCCACAUUGGGACUGAGACACGGCCCAAACUCCUACGGGAGGCAGCAGUAGGGAAUCUUCGGCAAUGGACGAAAGUCUGACCGAGCAACGCCGCGUGAGUGAAGAAGGUUUUCGGAUCGUAAAACUCUGUUGGUAGAGAAGAACGUUGGUGAGAGUGGAAAGCUCAUCAAGUGACGGUAACUACCCAGAAAGGGACGGCUAACUACGUGCCAGCAGCCGCGGUAAUAMGUAGGUCCCGAGCGUUGUCCGGAUUUAUUGGGCGUAAAGCGAGCGCAGGUGGUUUAUUAAGUCUGGUGUAAAAGGCAGUGGCUCAACCAUUGUAUGCAUUGGAAACUGGUAGACUUGAGUGCAGGAGAGGAGAGUGGAAUUCCAUGUGUAGCGGUGAAAUGCGUAGAUAUAUGGAGGAACACCGGUGGCGAAAGCGGCUCUCUGGCCUGUAACUGACACUGAGGCUCGAAAGCGUGGGGAGCAAACAGGAUUAGAUACCCUGGUAGUCCACGCCGUAAACGAUGAGUGCUAGAUGUAGGGAGCUAUAAGUUCUCUGUAUCGCAGCUAACGCAAUAAGCACUCCGCCUGGGGGAGUACGACCGCAAGGUUGAAACUCAAAGGAAUUGACGGGGGGCCCGCACCAAGCGGUGGAGCAUGUGGUUAAUUUCAAAGCAACGCGAAGAACCCUACCAGGUCUU